CUACGGGGUGCACCAGUGGGGAAUAUUGGGCAAUGGGCGCAAGCCUGACCCAGCAACGCCGCGUGAGGGAAGAAGGUUUUCGGAUUGUAAACCUCUGUCCUUGGGGACGAAGAAGUGACGGUACCCAAGGAGGAAGCUCCGGCUAACUACGUGCCAGCAGCCGCGGUAAGACGUAGGGAGCAAGCGUUGUCCGGAAUUACUGGGCGUAAAGGGUGCGUAGGCGGCAUAUUAAGUCAGGUGUGAAAUACUCGGGCUCAACCCGGGGGCUGCAUUUGAAACUGAUAUGCUUGAGUGUGAGAGAGGAAAGUGGAAUUCCUAGUGUAGCGGUGGAAUGCGUAGAUAUUAGGAGGAACACCAGUGGCGAAGGCGACUUUCUGGCUCAUAACUGACGCUGAGGCACGAAAGCGUGGGGAGCAAACAGGAUUAGAUACCCUAGUAGUC
rnacentral:rRNA from 1 species